CCUACGGGAGGCAGCAGUAGGGAAUCUUCCACAAUGGGCGAAAGCCUGAUGGAGCAACGCCGCGUGGGUGAAGAAGGUCUUCGGAUCGUAAAACCCUGUUGGUCGAGAAGAAAGUGCGUGAGAGUAACUGUUCACGUUUCGACGGUAACUAACCAGAAAGCCACGGCUAACUACGUGCCAGCAGCCGCGGUAAUACGUAGGUGGCAAGCGUUAUCCGGAUUUAUUGGGGGUAAAGGGAACGCAGGCGGUCUUGUAAGUCUGAUGUGAAAGCCUUCGGCUUAACCGGAGGAGUGCAUUGGAAACUGGGAGGCUGGAGUGCAGGAGAGGAGAGUGGAACGCCAUGUGUAGCGGUGAAAUGCGUAGAUAUCACGCAGAACACCGAUUGCGAAGGCAGCAUACCGGCGCCCGACUGACGCUGAGGCACGAAAGCGUGGGUAUCGAACAGGAUUAGAUACCCGGGUAGUC
rnacentral:rRNA from 1 species